rnacentral:rRNA from 1 species
UACAGAGGUCCCAAGCGUUGUUCGGAUUCACUGGGCGUAAAGGGUGCGUAGGUGGCUUGAAAAGUUUGAUGUGAAAGCUCAGGGCUCAACCCUGAAAUGGCAUUGAAUACUGUCGGGCUGGAGGUUUGGAGGGGGGACUGGAAUUCUCGGUGUAGCAGUGAAAUGCGUAGAUAUCGAGAGGAACACCAGUGGCGAAGGCGAGUCCCUGGACAACACCUGACACUGAGGCACGAAAGCCGGGGGAGCAAACAGG